rnacentral:tRNA from 1 species
GCCCAUGUAGCGCAGUGGUAGUCGCGCAUCCUUGGUAAGGAUGAGGUCAUCGGUUCAAGUCCGAUCAUGGGCU